GCUGACUACAGUUUAUUACCCAUGGAACCUGGACCUUGACAAGUGGAUUUAAAGGAGGGAAGAAUGGCUUGAUAUGAAGACAUCGGCGGCGUGUUUGAAGACCAUUGAGGGGACACUACAGCAGAGUGGGCAGGACAACGUGGGGUCUGACAGACUGCUGUGUGCACCAGCGUGUGGGUACUGAGCAGAGGCGAACACGGGACCUGCAUCACCCGAGGACUUGCAGAGACACGAAAGUUACAGGAACACAUGGUGCCAACACUUCACAUUAGAAGUCUCUGGACUUGUUCGCACAACUCAGUUCUGAGGCUGAGUCGUCUGCACAAUUCAAGUGCCGUUCAUGCGGCUAUUUUGUAGGAAAGUGAACAGCAGCAUUGACCCCCCCCCCGAACACACACACCCAUAACAGGAAGUAGCAACAGAACAGUGUGCAUAGAAGAAAGA